CUUGGUCAUUUAGAGGAAGUAAAAGUCGUAACAAGGUUUCCGUAGGUGAACCUGCGGAAGGAUCAUUAAUGAAUUACAGAGAGUUGAUGCUGGCAGUCUUGACUGCAUGUGCUUGCUCUCUAGUCCCAUUUACACCUGUGCAUUUUUUGACUUUGAAGGCGGGGAUAAAAACCUGCCUUUGAAAUUCACAAAAACUCUUUGUUUAUAUUAAUGGAUGUUUAUCUGCCGCAAGGCGAAAUCAAAUACAACUUUUAACAACGGAUCUCUUGGCUCUCGCAUCGAUGAAGAACGCAGCGAAAUGCGAUAAGUAAUGUGAAUUGCAGAAUUCAGUGAAUCAUCGAAUCUUUGAACGCACCUUGCGCUCCCUGGUAUUCCGGGGAGCACACCUGUUCGAGUGUCAUGGAACUCUCAAACAAGAUAGAUUUGUUUCUAUCUCUGUUUGGAUUUGGACUUUGCUGCGUCAAUGCAGCUGGUCUGAAAUGUAUUAGCUGAUCCUAAUGAAAGGGUCUGGUUCUACUCGGCAUGAUAAUUAUCUUAUGUUGAGGACGGUCUCAGGACUGGCCAGAUUUUUCUGUGGGUUGCUUCUAAUUGUCUUUGGACAAAUUAUCUAGUAUUUGACCUCGAAUCAGGUGGGACUACCCGCUGAACUUAAGCAUAUCAAUAAGCGGAGGAAAAGAAACUAACAAGGAUUCCCCUAGUAACGGCGAGUGAAGCGGGAUGAGCUCAAAUUUAAAAUCUGGUAGUUCUUGUUGGCUGCCCGAAUUGUAAUCUAGAGAAGCGUUUUCCGCGCUGGACUGUGUACAAGUUUCCUGGAUAUGGAACAUCAUAGAGGGUGAGAAUCCCGUCCUUGACACAGACUCCCAGUGCUUUGUGAUGCGCUCUCAACGAGUCGAGUUGUUUGGGAUUGCAGCUCAAAAUGGGAGGUAAAUUCCUUCUAAAGCUAAAUAUUGGCGAGAGACCGAUAGCGAACAAGUACCGUGAGGGAAAGAUGAAAAGCACUUUGGAAAGAGAGUUAAACAGUACGUGAAAUUGUUAAAAGGGAAACGAUUGAAGUCAGUCGCGUCUACUUGGACUCAGCCUUACUUUGGUUUGGUGCAUUUCCUUGUGGACGGGCCAGUGUCCAUGUUAAUUACUGGAGAAAAUUCUGAGGAAUGUGGCUCUUUUAGAGUGUUAUAGCUUCAGCUUAUAUACAGUGGUUGAUAUGGAGUGGUACAGCAUGCUUCGGCGGUGCUUGUGCCGGCAUAAUGGCUUUAAACGACCCGUCUUGAAACACGGACC
rnacentral:rRNA from 1 species